GGGGGCGUACUGGUUUCGACGGGUCGUCUUAGUUCGGAGCUGCAUGCCGAGGAUGAUUCGUUGGCCUCGUUAAACACCGGAUCAAAAACAUAAAUGCAAACUCUAACGAGCUAGCACUCGCAGCUUAAGCACUGCGACAUCCUUCAGGCAAUGUCUGGUAGCCUGAACGAUGCCACUACCAGGCUGGUUUGGCGGCCGGGCGACCGGGUCACAAACGAGACCAAACAGGACGCUGGGUGAAGAGUAGGCUGUCUCAAGCCGCCUCCCACCGAGACCAAAGAUGAGACUGAGCAUGGAGACGCUACGGGCAACGGUGAUUCGGACAGGGGUUCAACUCCCCUCGCCUCCACUU
rnacentral:tmRNA from 1 species